GCAUACGCAAGUCAACUCUCAGGCUCUGUUGCUCUUGCACGACUCUCCUAUUCCCCUUCCUCUUCUCUAUUCCGCGGAAAAACAUCUCCUCUGAUUCAGCUUACCUCCGCCACCUCCGGCGUUGCUGCACACCGACGCGAGUUCGCCUCGGUCCUAGAGUUCUCCGCUGAUUACCCGCCGCUGAUGCGUUUUGCCAUUGCACGAACCCCGUGGCAAACCCUAGACGCCCGCGUCGGUGAUAUGGCGUGGGCUAGCCAUGGGCAGCGGCUGGGCCCUGCCUGCGCUGCACCCCGACGACCUGCUCCUAUGAACACUCGCGCUAUCUCCGCAUCCCUACCUCGGCUGGCCUCUCGUGUUGAUGCUGGAUUUAUCCAAUGAUGUUGCUCAGCGACAUCCUCAUUGACUCCGGCGUCGAUAGGACAGCGCUGUUGUGGCCUCAAUUGACAGUUAUAUCGAAAUCUCCGUAAACCUCCGUGGCUCCGUUUCUUUACUGGUGAGGCGCCUAUGCUUCUCACCGUGAUAUUCUUGGCGAUGUACCUGCACCGCGGUGGUGGAGAAGGAGAAUCAGGCCAUGUACGCCGCCAUCGAGAGAUUCGUUGGAAAAUGUUGGAACGGCUCCGGCCUCUUCUCACCCUUGCAGCAAGACUCCCAUCCAGCGUUCAGGCCAAUGAAGAUUGGAGCACCGACACAUGGGAGGAAAAUAAUGUUGGUUAGGCCACUGAGACAUCACAUCAGAGGGCACUGUGACAUUGAGGUUCUGGCACAAGAUUUGCAUUUGGCGCUGCAAGGGCACUGGCAUUCUUCCACCAUGGUUGCAUUCCACAGAUCGUCCACCGGGAGUUGAAGGUAAGAAACAUCUACUUCAACUUCUAUAUGGAGCCUAGAUUUUCUGAUUUUGAGUCAUCAAAGAUCGAUGGGACUAGCACAAACGAGGAUCUGCUGCACCAUUCUCCUGGCUAUGCUCCGGCAGAAUUCUCAAAUUCAAAGGACGCUAAGUCUGAUGGCAUCAUGCUGUUUGAGCUGAUCACCGGCAACGAGCCACUGGGUGAUGACUGAUGAGUCCCCUUACCGGAAGGAGGCGAACCUGGUAAACUUGGUGGGGCCAAUGUUUAGGGAAAACCAAGGUCGAGCAUCAUCGAUGUGAAGAUCUGUGACAUGGGGAUAAGUGAAGGAUUGCCUACCUUUGCACUGCUGAGCUGCCAUCCAAGAGGCCACUCAGAUCGUUGGCCUGCUCAAGGACACUGAACCUAAAGUAGCAGAGCAGAACUGAGAUGAUUUAUUGGUACUAAAUUUUGUGUGUAAGCAGUGAGCUCCUAGCUGUUUCGCCUUUUGGAGCUCACCAUGCCAUGUCCUGCUCUUCUUCCGAGACAGUGUAUUUCUUCUUCUUUUCUCUUCUUGAUUAAUUGUUCCUCCUGUUAAGAUGUUGCAAUAUAGCUUGCCACAAUAUUACCAUGAGUUAUUAUAUAUGAAAGCCCUCAUCAA